UAAUAAGUGGAGAAAACUCUUCUAAUAAUCAAUUCAAAAGUCAUGUUUUUACUUGAUGACAUAUAAAGACAUUUUUUAUAAUGAUAUUACUUUUAAUAUUUAAAAGCAAAUUUAUUAUAAACCAACAAAGUACAUUCUCAUCAAAAUCUCAAUCAUGGUGGGUCUAUUUAAUUAUUUACUUUUUUUUUAUCUUUUAUUUUUUUUUUAUUUUUUUUUUUUUUAUUUUGUAAAUGAGUGAUGGUGGACUUAUCUACGAUUAAAUUGCUAUUAAAAGCCCAAAAGUAUGUAUUUUCAAUUUUGGUGAGACCAAAAGAAAUACUUUGUAAUAAGUGUGGAGAGAAAAUUCCCUUGUGAAACGAUAAGAAAACAAUAAAAUAAAAAUUUAAAAAGAUGUGGGAAAUGAAGUUGGGAGUAAUAUUAUUAACAAUGGAAGGAAUAAGUGUAAGUACAAAUACAUUAAGCAAAGCAGCCAUGGCUAAAGGAAUGAGCAACUAUAUCUUCACUACUUAUACUCAUGCUAUCUCUCUCUUCUUUCUUGUUCCCUUGGCUUUCUUUUUACACAGAAAAACUCCACCUCCGCCCAUUGGGUGGUCUAUAAUUAUGCGGCUUUUUCUGCUUGGAGUUCUCAAUUGUGGAUGCUCCAUCUUUUUGUUCGUUGGAAUACGAUAUAGCUCACCAACUCUUGCAUCGGCAAUGAAUAAUCUUUCCCCUGCUUUCACAUUCAUCAUAGCCAUUAUUUUGAGGAUGGAGUUGGUAAAUUUUAGUGCACAAAGUAGCGUACUUAAGUCGAUUGGAACAAUAGUCUCAAUCAUUGGAGCAUUCAUAGUGACAUUCUACCAAGGACAAUCAAUCAUAUUUUUCUCUUCACCAAACAAGCUAUCGCUUCACUCUUUAUUUGAAACUCAACCAAAUUGGGCCGUUGGAGCGCUCUUGCUUGCCACUAGCAGCAUUUUUCUCUCACUCACUUAUAUUGCAAAGACUUGGAUUGCAAGAGAUUUCCAUUCAGAGGUGCUAAUAACACUAAUAAGCUGCUUCUUUGAAACAAUAGUGGCAGCAAUCGUUACUUUAAUUGCAGAAAAUGAUGCAAGUGUUUGGACACCAACCAUUAAUAUCGAAAUAAUAUCUAUUCUCUUUGGGGCUUUCGAUGUUGGUAUAGUAAAUACCGUGAAUACUUGGGCAUGCAGAGUUAAGGGAUCAGUAUUUGUGGCUAUGUUUAAGCCACUUCAAAUGAUUAUUGCUGUUAUUUUGGGUGUUUCUUUCCUAGGAGAUGUUCUUCAUGUUGGGAGUGUUAUUGGAGGAAUAAUCAUAGCUUUGGGAUUCUACACCGUGAUGAAGGGGAAGGCCGAAGAAGAAACACACAAGGAAGUUGAUGAGAAUAGAUGGUUAACCAACACUGAAGAGGAGAUUUGUUCUCAUAAAGUUCCUAUGUUGCAGAACAGAAGCAUAGAUGCAUAAAAUUUCACAAGUUUGUCCAAUGAUUGAGUAAUUCAAUUUAAUGUCUACCUCGUGCAUAUAGUUAUAGAUACUGCAUACUUAAAAGUGUUUAACGUAUACCUCGUGCACAUACUAUCUUCACUUCUUAAGCACCUUUUGAAAACCAUUUACCCCAUUUAUACUGCCUUAUGAUCUACACACUUCCUGCUGUCUUGAAGUUACAUCCUUCAUGUUGCCAUGAAAGUGGUUGUGGUUUAUUAGUUCCAUGUGUUUUUUCAUAAGAUUCUUUUUUCCAAUUUUAAGAAAAUUGAAGUCCUUGAAGAAUCAAGAUGAUUGGAAGAAAGAGUCUUGUGAAAAGCCUCAUGGUCCUAAUUAGGUCUACUAAGAAUCCUCACUAUUAUAAACAGGAUAAUACAUAAAAGGAAAAAUAGAGAAAAGAUGAAAUGAGCAAGUUUGUCUGUGUAAAUUCCUUUUUAUUAUUAGUAUAAACUUCUAAAAUUAAUUUUGCAGUUCUGUUGCUUAUUUGUUGCUUAUAUAAACCACUCACUUGUUUAUUUUAACCACGCUCUCUUUGGAUUUCUAUGCCACAUGUCUCGGGUAUAACGAUUUCAAGAAUCUUUUGAAGAAUGUGAUAUACGACGGCUUCACUAUUGAUGAAUUCCAAAGACGGUGGUGUGAAGCAAUGAAGUUGUAUAAUUUAGAAGACAAUGAAUGGCUGCAAGGGUUGUUUGUAGAGAGGCACAUGUGGGUGCCGGCUUAGAUGAAAGAGUACUUUUGGGCUGGGAUGAAAACGACGUAGAGGGUAGAGACCAUUAAUAGGUUCUUUGAUGGAUUUGUUAAUAGGCACACUAAACUCCAUGAAUUUCCUGAAAAAUAUUGCCAAGCCAUGAAGAAGCGGGUGAGUGAUGAGACUCAUGCUGAUGAUAGGGAUUGCAAAUACAUAAGGCGGCUUGUUAGUGGAUUUAAAGUCGAGAGGUAUUUUCAAAAAAAUUUACACUGAUGCGAAAUUUUAGGAAGUCCAAAGAGAAUGUGCUCGGAUGUUGUACGUCAUUCCGAAGGUGGAGGACAUUAUAAGUGCGGAAGCAAUUCAGUACUUGAUUGAAGAUCGAGUUUGGAUUAGGAAAAGUGGCACCACUAAAGUUAAAGUGACUGACCUAAAAAGGUUUUACUCAGUGACAUUCAAUCCUGUUACAAAAGAUAGUAGUUGUGACUGCCGUAAGUUCGAGAAGGAUAUGAUUCUAUGCAGGCACGUCAUAAGAGUGUGGGAUCAGAAUAUGGUCAUAGAUAUUCCCCCAAAAUACGUACUUGCUUGGUGGCGGAAAGAUGUGGUUAGGAGGCACACCCGGGUCAAAGUUGCAUACCAUGAUCCCACACAUUUCAAAGAAUGCAAACGGUGCAACGCCUUGAUCCCUGAUCUUGAAUCUUUGUGUGAUGAAGUGUCUGCAGUAGAUGAUGAUACAGUAGAGGCUGUCCGUGGAGCAAUUUCGAAGCUUCGUGAAAUUGUCAAAGAACGUCGUGCAAAACUGAUGGAGAACUCACUUUUACCAAGUUCUGAAAUUGGUUCUUCAGCAACCAGCCACCACACCAAGUUCAACACCUACUCACCAUGCAUCCGCACCAAUGUCAACUCCUACUGAACUACCAAACACCCAUAAUCCACCAACAACGACACCAAACACUGGUUGUGCAAGACCUAACCCCAAUUCAAUAUCAGUCACGGAUCCACGAGCAACAAUGUUGGUAUUCAAGAUCCAAUAAUUAAAAAGAAGCCUCGAGGCCGACCAAAGGGGUCUCGGAACAAAACCCUAUCUGAGUUAGGGUACAAUACCAGUAAGCUUAUGACAACCAAGGGAUGUGACAGUCAGGGUGAA